GCCCCCGCUGACACGCAACUUCCGACUUUCAGACAUGUACGGUUUGUUUACAAGACGCAGAUGGACCAUAUUGCCAUAUUGAGUCAUGGCGGCAACAACUCCCGGGAAGCACCUGUGACUUAGCUCAUCACAUUGCUCUGGGCCAGUGGACAACUAAAUUUGGCAAAGACAUUGAGGGUUUCCCUCAUCAAACUACUGUAAAUUCUUGUGGCAUCUUAAUGUUGAUGUAUGCACUCAGCCUGAGCAAAGAGGCUCCAUUUUGGUUCAUUGAGAGGGACAUGGCACGCAUCCGAAAAUGGUGGUGCAUUAGUCUAAUGGAACGGUUCCAGAUUGACGGCCAUGGACAGAGGUUUGCAUACUGGACUAAUGAGGCCAGAGCAUUGCUCCAAGGUUCACUGCAGCCGAUAUACAGGGUCCCAAAGGUCAGCAAGAGGGAACAUGAGGUUUCGAUUAGAAAAGGAUGACAGGUGCAUCAUAUUGGAGUGGUACUACAGGAAGGAGAUAAGGCAUACUUAAGAUUGGCUCUUGUGUGUCCAUUGACUCCUUCAAGAGACGGGCACAUUUUCAGUGGCUUGACAGUGUCGCUACAUGGAGCAGGAGUCCUAAAGAAAAUAAUUCUACACCAUGUACACCGUGGACACCUGUCGUGAAUGUGGAAUGCUUUUCAAAAACUGCACACCUGGAUAUGUUAGAACAGGACAAAGGGGUGUACUUGAAGCAGUUUACUCAGAAGACCCACAUCCAGGUUACUGCGAUCACUUUUGCCGCCAAAUGCAAUAGUGAGAACGGACACGUAUACUACCUGUUGGCAGACAACCCUGAGCCAGCUGGGUGUUUUUCAAGCUGCAGGCCCCCAUGACAAUUUGUGGCUGGAAACUUGGGAUUGAAUUUUGAAUUCUCCAGUGUUAUUACAGACUGUUAAUUAAUUGUUCAUGACAAAAAAGAGAUGUCAUAUGUUUAAACAACCUUUGGGUGAACUUUUUGUAUAAUUUUAAAAAUGUUAAAACUAACAUCUAUUGAGAGUCUACUUUAUGCUUUUUUGGUUAUAAUAACGUCCUGUUCAAUGUGGAAUCAAAUUCAAAUCCUCUGAAUAUUGAGUCCAUUUCUGAACACUGGGGAGAUCGUGUGUACAACUGGUGAUCCGGUUUAUUGAAUGCAUUGCACCUAUAUGAUUUCUACCCAGAGCUGUACAUUUAUCAUUUGUUAAUAUAAUAAUACAGACAGUCUGACUUUUCCAUACCCACAGGAUUAAAGGGCCUACAUCUACGUACAGAUACUGAUCAGCAUAAAGUCCUUUGGAAUCACAUGUAAACUGCAGUGGAGGAUUUUUCUUUCAGUGCUUCGACCCAGAGAGAGCCUUCUAGUCCUCUUGUGACCAGCCCACUAUGUGACAGUACUGUCACAUAGUACAUAACUUACAUCCACAUCCACUUAUUAAGACUUAUUAUUUA